AACCUAAAAAAUUUUGGCGGUGUUUUAAAUAAUUUGGAGGAACCUGUUAUUUAAAUGAUAAUCCACAUUCAUAUCUUUUCCUAAAUUUUGUUUUGUAUAUCGUUGUUUUUAGAUAAUAUUUUAAAAUUAUUAUCAAGUUCGAUUCAUUCUAAAAAAUCAAAUCAAGGUGCAGCAUAUUUAGGUUAUAAUGGGUUACAAUAUUAUAUACAUAUUAUGGAUACAAAAUGAAAAUAUUGUUAAAAGUGGAUUCAAAAGUAAAAUGAUACUAAAAAGUUUAUUUGAUUAAGAAUUUAAAACAUGCACACAU
rnacentral:rRNA from 1 species